rnacentral:rRNA from 1 species
UACGUAGGGAGCGAGCGUUGUCCGAAGUUACUGGGCGUAAAGCGCGCGUAGGCGGGCCAUUAAGUGAGAGGUGAAAUUCCAGGGCUCAACCCCGGAACUGCCUCUCAUACUGUUGGUCUUGAGUGAGGUAGAGAGAAGUGGAAUGGCUGGUGUAGCGGUGAAAUGCGUAGAUAUCAGUCGGAACACCGGUGGCGGAAGGCGGCUUCUUGGGCCUUUACUGACGCUGAGGCGCGAAAGCCAGGGGAGCGAACGGG